AUACCGGAUAAUAUUUUGAACCGCAUGGUUCAAAAGUGAAAGACGGUCUUGCUGUCACUUAUAGAUGGAUCCGCGCUGCAUUAGCUAGUUGGUAAGGUAACGGCUUACCAAGGCAACGAUGCAUAGCCGACCUGAGAGGGUGAUCGGCCACACUGGAACUGAGACACGGUCCAGACUCCUACGGGAGGCAGCAGUAGGGAAUCUUCCGCAAUGGGCGAAAGCCUGACGGAGCAACGCCGCGUGAGUGAUGAAGGUCUUCGGAUCGUAAAACUCUGUUAUUAGGGAAGAACAUAUGUGUAAGUAACUGUGCACAUCUUGACGGUACCUAAUCAGAAAGCCACGGCUAACUACGUGCCAGCAGCCGCGGUAAUACGUAGGUGGCAAGCGUUAU
rnacentral:rRNA from 1 species